CUACGGAAGGCAGCAGUGGGGAAUUUUGGACAAUGGGGGCAACCCUGAUCCAGCAAUGCCGCGUGAGUGAAGAAGGCCUUCGGGUUGUAAAGCUCUCUUGUUGGGGAAGAAACGGUGACCUCUAAUACAGGUUGCUAAUGACGGUACCCAAAGAAUAAGCACCGGCUAACUACGUGCCAGCAGCCGCGGUAAUACGUAGGGUGCGAGCGUUAAUCGGAAUUACUGGGCGUAAAGCGUGCGCAGGCGGUUGUAUAAGUCAGAUGUGAAAUCCCCGGGCUCAACCUGGGAAUGGCGUUUGAGACUGUACGGCUAGAGUGUGUCAGAGGGGGGUAGAAUUCCACGUGUAGCAGUGAAAUGCGUAGAGAUGUGGAGGAACACCGAUGGCGAAGGCAGCCCCCUGGGAUAACACUGACGCUCAUGCACGAAAGCGUGGGGAGCAAACAGGAUUAGAUACCCCUGUAGUUCC
rnacentral:rRNA from 1 species